rnacentral:rRNA from 1 species
GACGUAGGGCGCGAGCGUUGUCCGGAUUUAUUGGGCGUAAAGAGCUCGUAGGCGGUGUGUCACGUCGGCCGUGAAAACCUGCAGCUUAACUGUGGGCGUGCGGUCGAUACGGGCAUCACUGGAGUUCGGCAGGGGAGACUGGAAUUCCUGGUGUAGCGGUGAAAUGCGCAGAUAUCAGGAGGAACACCGGUGGUGUAAACGGCUUCUGGACCAUAACUGACGCUGAGGCACGAAAGCGUGGGUAGCAAACAGG